rnacentral:tRNA from 1 species
UAAUACUCCCACUAACAGCAACACUAUA